GCAGAGGUUCAAGGACGCAGCGUGACCCCGGCGAACUUCACAGACGAGGCGGAUGUCGACAACGGUGCAGAUGAGAGGACACAGAUGGCCAAAACAGGAGGAGGAACGAGUGCGAUCAUGUCAAAUGUCAUGGUAAAUGCCAGCAAAGUGGCCUCCAUUGCAGCGGUGCUGAUAUUACCGAGGAAUGGUACAAAGUGUUCCCUCAGUUACCUGCGGAAAAAGUGAGUCUUUCAAGAUCCAUUCUUUGUUGCUUUGCUUCUGUGGGCCAAAGACUUCAUG